GUCAAAGAUUGUGACUUACUUCAUGCUUAAGUUGUUGAUAGGUCAAAGUUUGUGGCUUACUUUCCAACAUAUGAUAGUUGUAAAGAUUGCAUUUACAACUCAUCUAUAGCUAAGUUUCUUAAGCUUUAAGAAGCUAGUUGUAACCUCCUCUAUCUAGUAUAAAUAGAGGUCUUGAGUUAUAGAGUUGGUAUCCCAUGUUGUGGUGAGUGAAAACAAAGAGAGAGAGGGAGUGGAGUUUAGAGAGAAAAUGGAGAUUUCUCCUAAAACUCAAGUGCCUUUCCUUUGUUAGUGUGUAUUUCUUCCUGUUAUAAGAGAGAGGGUAUUCUCAAUUGUUGCUCUCCUUAUUGCAGAAGAGAAAUUGUUGUAUCCUUUUGCUAUAGUGAAAUCCUUCUACAAUUUGCCUAUCAUCUUGUGCUUCACUCAUUUUCAUAGUUUCUACUUCAGUUGUAAUUGGGUGCCCCAUAUCACAACGCUUCCUAACACUCUAUUCCAACGGGAUGCUUUGCCACAUUUAAAUAGCUACGUUUUGCUACUCGUGCUGAAAUCUCAUCAGUAAUCUGACUAAUGAACUUAGCUUCAUGCCUGCCAAUUUAAAUGCAAAAAAUAUUUAUUAGACACAACUGUGUAUGGGAGAUCAGUAUAUAGAUGUGGGUCUGGCCUAGAUGUGGGUCUGGCUUUUACAUCGGAGGGAUCCACCUUGUAAAACACUGGCCAAACCAAUUGUUGCUUCAACUCCUUACAUUGAAGGAUUUUAAUUAGUUCAUCCAAACACCACCUUGAGGAUGCGUAGUUUUCAGAGAAUAUGACGAUAGAAAUCUUUGACCCUUCAAUUGCUUCGAGAAGUGCAGAUGAUGUUUCUUCUCCUUUUCUAAGCUCUUCGUCGUCUACGAAAGUAUUAAUUCCGUUCUGAACCAAAGAAGCAUGCAAAUGGCCUGUGAAGGUGUUUCGUGUAUCCACACCUGUAAAACUCAAAAACACAUCGUAUGGACGUGAACGGGUGAGAGGAGAAGAGGAAGGAGUAAUUGAAUAUGUAUUGAUAGCCAUAGGCAGAAGCUUCUUGGGAUCGAAGACGUCGCACUGCUUCAGCUCCUCCACCGGCGGAGCCAGAGGCUGCAUCUCCUCCAAGCUCCUGGGCCGCUGGUGGGUAUCGAACGGCCCAAAAAGCCCAGAAAGCAUAUGGUAAGCAGCCACGAGCAGAGCCAAGAGUGUGAAGAAGGUCGCCGGAGAUAGGCCCGUGUAGGCCACGAUUGCUUCCUUCAGUGUUUCCCAGAUUUGCAGAGCCAUUUUGAAAGAGAGAACUUUCUUUGACACGGAUUCGAAUAUUCAAAUAGCUAUGUUUUUGGUAAUGAUCUUUUUAGUGGUCAUCAGUUUGAAUCCGACCGAAGGAUUUUACUACCAUAAACUUGACCACCUUGCAGGACUAUCGAUGGCUGAGCAGCCGAUCAGUUUGAGAGAUAAUGUGGGAUUGCCUUUUUCUAUAAACAUCCAUAAGAAGACUUUGUGAAGGCAUAUUCCAAUGGGUGAUUUUGAUCUGUCGCGAAACUUGUGUGAAAACAGUUUCCUGAAAGCUUCAAUGCAAAAGUCUAUCAAAGAAAAGGACAACUGACCAAUAGAUCAAAUUUCCCGGCAGCUUCAUUAUAUAGAAAUUUCAAGGGUGAUUGACGAAGCUUGGAGCGUUGUGUGGUGCAUAAUUGAACCAUGUUGGCCUAGUAAGAGGCUUCAGUGCAACUUCAAUUCGAGAGUGACUGACCAAAGAAAAACAAUGACGACCGACUUAAAAGACACGAUUGUCAAUAUGUGAUGCGAUACGGUACUGAUGAAAGUUUUUGACGAAGUGGUCAUCAUAACCUACCAUCUUUCAGGACUGUUAGGGAGAGAAGGUUCGAUAUUUAAGUGUUUGUCUUUGUUCUAGGAUACUCAUUUGUUGCCUGCCAAUGAAAACUAUUUGUGAAGGCUUAUUAAUAUCAAGAAUUUCGAUCACUGGUGUUUUUGAUCAUGAGAUCCUGGACCAGAUAAAACCCCAAUUAGGAUCUUGCCUUCAGCCCUAGAGAUAUGCCCCCAAAUGUCAAGGAUGAAGAAAGUCAUGCUUAUAUUUAACUUUUUACUUAAGUUGGUGAUCUCUGAUGAAUAUUCCGAGAGAACAGAAAGAUCAAUAAACCAAAUAACAAGUCGUGCCAUUCAUUCUCCUGAAAAUUAUCAACCUGUUCAUUACAUGAAACAGGGAGGAAGAGUGGGGGAAAAAUAACAUAUAAUAAGCUCAGCUCGAGAAGCCAUGAAAACAAUCACGAUGACGCAACUAAACGACGAGAAGAAGAUUAAUCAACUUCCAUUUAAAACAAUAAUGUAUUCGACAACAGUUUGAGAAACUUAUUCAAAACCCAGACAAAGCUCAUCAUCUUAAGUUCAAGGGCCAAACGGAAAGUAGAGAGAAUGAUUAACAAACUUUGAAUGAGUCCACAAAAUCAUGUUUGAAACUCUGAAGAUCUAUUCUUCGGCAA